rnacentral:rRNA from 1 species
CCUACGGGUGGCAGCAGUGAGGAAUAUUGGUCAAUGGCCGUAAGGCUGAACCAGCCAAGUCGCGUGAAGGAAGAAGGAUCUAUGGUUUGUAAACUUCUUUUAUAGGGGAAUAAAGGUAUCCACGUGUGGAUAUUUGCAUGUACCCUAUGAAUAAGCAUAGGCUAAAUCCGUGCCAGCAGCCGCGGUAAUACGGAGGAUGCUAGCGGUAUCCGGAUUUAUUGGGUUUAAAGGGUGCGUAGGCGGAACAUUAAGUCAGCGGUAAAAUCUAGGGGCUCAAACCCUUUAAGCCGUUGAAACUGGUGAUCUUGAGUGGGCGAUAAGUAUGCGGAAUGCGUGGUGUAGCGGUGAAAUGCAUAGAUAUCACGCAGAACUCCGAUUGCGAAGGCAGCAUACCGGCGCCCGACUGACGCUGAGGCACGAAAGCGUGGGGAUCGAACAGGAUUAGAUACCCCAGUAGUC